GAUGAACGCUGGCGGCGUGCCUAAUACAUGCAAGUCGAGCGAACAGACGAGGAGCUUGCUCCUCUGACGUUAGCGGCGGACGGGUGAGUAACACGUGGAUGACCUACCUAUAAGACUGGGAUAACUUCGGGAAACCGGAGCUAAUACCGGAUAAUAUAUUGAACCGCAUGGUUCAAUAGUGAAAGACGGUUUUGCUGUCACUUAUAGAUGGAUCCGCGCCGCAUUAGCUAGUUGGUAAGGUAACGGCUUACCAAGGCAACGAUGCGUAGCCGACCUGAGAGGGUGAUCGGCCACACUGGAACUGAGACCAGGUCCAGACUCCUACGGGAGGCAGCAGUAGGGAAUCUUCCGCAAUGGGCGAAAGCCUGACGGAGCAACGCCGCGUGAGUGAUGAAGGUCUUCGGAUCGUAAAACUCUGUUAUUAGGGAAGAACAAAUGUGUAAGUAACUAUGCACGUCUUGACGGUACCUAAUCAGAAAGCCACGGCUAACUACGUG
rnacentral:rRNA from 1 species